rnacentral:rRNA from 1 species
GACGAACGCUGGCGGCGUGCUUAACACAUGCAAGUCGAGCGGUAAGGCCCUUUCGGGGGUACACGAGCGGCGAACGGGUGAGUAACACGUGGGUGACCUGCCCUCAGCUCUGGGAUAAGCCUGGGAAACUGGGUCUAAUACUGGAUAUGACUCCACGGUGCAUGUCGUGGGGUGGAAAGCCUUGUGCGGCUGAGGAUGGGCCCGCGGCCUAUCAGCUUGUUGGUGGGGUGANGGCCUAUCAAGGCGACGACGGGUAGCCGGCCUGAGAGGGCGACCGGCCACACUGGGACUGAGACACGGCCCAGACUCCUACGGGAGGCAGCAGUGGGGAAUCUUGCGCAAUGGGCGAAAGCCUGACGCAGCGACGCCGCGUGAGGGAUGACGGCCUC